GGGGGUAUAGCUCAGUGGUAGAGCAUUCAAAUGUCGUUCGGGACGUCCCCGGUUCCAACCCGGGUGUCCCCU